rnacentral:Y_RNA from 1 species
GGCUGGUCCAAGUGCAGUGAUGUUUACAACUAAUCGAUCAAACCAGUCACUGAUUUAUUUGUUCCUUCUGCACUCCCACUACUUCACUUAAUUAGCCUCAA